rnacentral:misc_RNA from 1 species
GUUCACAUCUUCGAAAAUCCAGUGUUUCAUAAAAGAAUGAAACAUCUGGAUAUUAUUGCCACAUCGUUUGUCAACAAGUCUUCUGCAAGUUCAUUGUUACUCAUCACAUUAGUGCCAAACUGCAGCUUGCCAACCUGUUUAUGAAACCUCUAAUGGUUGUUUCAUCAUUUUUUGUCCAAGAAGGGAUUGGUUUCCGUAAACCCAUCUCUAUCUUGAGGAGGGACUGUACAGAAUGUGUAAGUUAUUGAAGGUGGGAAAGGUGUUGCUGUUAGCUGAGCUGGAGAGGUAGUUAUAAGUGCUUGUCA